AUUGAACGCUGGCGGCAUGCUUUACACAUGCAAGUCGGACGAGUGGCGAACGUGUGAGUAAUAUAUUGGAACGUACGGAGUAAUGGGGGAUAACCAAUCAAAAGUGUGGCAAAUACCGCAUAUUAUUAUAGCGGCCCAUAUGUGAUUAGCUAGUUGGUGGGGUAAAGGCUUACCAAGGCGACGAUCAGUAGCGGGUCUGAGAGGAUGAUCCGCCACACUGGGACUGAGACACGGCCCAGACUCCUACGGGAGGCAGCAGUGGGGAAUUUUGGACAAUGGGCGCAAGCCUGAUGCAGCCAUGCCGCGUGUAUGAAGAAGGCCUUCGGGUUGUAAAGGACUUUUGUUAGGGAAGCGGUACCUAAAGAAUAAGCACCGGCUAACUACGUGCCAGCAGCCGCGGUAAUAC
rnacentral:rRNA from 1 species